UUUUGUUUUAAGUUUUCAUUAUUCCUGACAAUAACCUUUAGGAGUCAGCACAGUAAAGGCUUCUUGCUCUUACUCCUGUGAUAGUCUAACCAAACGCUUCUCGAGGUGUUUUGGCAAAUAGAGAAAUGGUUCUUUUGUUACCAGUAUUUUACCAACUAUCAGCUAAUACUCUUUAAGGACAUAUUUUGACCACAUUCUCUAUUCAAGUGGCUUGCAGAACUAAGCUGAAACAGUUAUCUAAUAUUACAAGAUGAUGAAGAGGAGCUUAAAAAUACCCCAGUGCAAGCCAUGCAAGCAGCUGAAUGGUCCUUUUUCUUUUCUUUUCUUUUCCAGAUAAGUCUCUGUUAAAGACAGCUUUACCUUACCCCUCAGGAAUGUUCUGUUUGAAGCAGACCCAGCUAAUCCGUGAACAGAGAUCAACAAUUAAAGCUCUUGGGCAUUGACUUUUGCUCAGGAAACAGGGGAGCUGAAGCUGAGUAAACAAGAUGAGUAUAUUUGCAGCAGCUGGCUGUGUGCUCUACAGAAAUUGGCAAUCAUGUUUUGGGGCCAAGCUGAGGCAGAGGAUGUGGAGGGCUUGGAAUUGAGGACUGAGGAGUACUUUUUGCUUAUUUGACAUAAUACCAUAGCAACAAGCUAUUAUGUUGCAGAAGGUAAACCAAACAAAGAACUGUAGGCAGAUCUCUGUGAUAAAAAUGAACUAUUUUUUAUCCCAACUAUUGCAGUAAAAAGCAAAGAGUUGACAGUGUUAAGCACUAUUGUUAGCCAACUCAACUCCUUUAAAAAUAUGACUGAGAAAAAAUA
rnacentral:lncRNA from 1 species